ACUUUGGUGGCGACCGGCGCACGGGUGCGUAACGCGUAUGUAACCUACCUAUAACAGGGGCAUAACACUGAGAAAUUGGUACUAAUUCCCCAUAAUAUUCGGAGAGGCAUCUCUCCGGGUUGAAAACUCCGGUGGUUAUAGAUGGACACGCGUUGUAUUAGCUAGUUGGUGAGGUAACGGCUCACCAAGGCAACGAUACAUAGGGGGACUGAGAGGUUAACCCCCCACACUGGUACUGAGACACGGACCAGACUCCUACGGGAGGCAGCAUG
rnacentral:rRNA from 1 species